AUGACCAAGAGAUUUCAAGCAUUAGAACUCAUUUGGAAGAUAUCUAAGUUUUGUAGAUAUCACAGAAAAUUCCUUGAGACUUGGGCACCCAUAGAGCUCGAGAAUUCAGAGUUGAAAGGGGAAUUGCUUAUAAGACUCUUGAGCUUUUUGCACCAAACCGGGUUUAAAUUGACAAGUUUUUGGAGCGCUAAAGUAGAUGUAUGA